AUGAACUAAACACAUUUUCUUCUUUCAAAAACAAUAGUUGUUAGUCAAUCAUGAGUGAAAGAUAAUAUUUCUCUCUACUUAUAUGAAGAUGGGAAUUAUAUGAAGAUCGUCCGUGAUCAAAUUGCUGAGCAAAUGUGGUCCGCAAGUCGAAAUAGUUCUCAUCGACAUUGUUAGAUUUUAUUUU
rnacentral:sRNA from 1 species